rnacentral:tRNA from 4 species
UGCGGGGAUAGAGCAUUCUUCGGCUCGGCAGUCUCAUAAGCUGCAAACGGUGAGUGCAACUCUUACCCCCGCGUCCA